CUUCCAUUUCCUUUCUCUCCUAUCCAAAACCUUCCUCUUCUCAGGCCAAUCUUGUCAAAGAUUUCUCAGGCCAAAUUGUCAUUUCAAGGGAAAGAAGAAUAAGUACUACCGUAUUUUUUAUUUCCUGGAAUCUUUCCUAUUGGAAAGUUUCUUUUUUCCCUUUUCUUUUCUCUCUUUUCUUUUCAGAUCUUUGGCUUGUACUUUUUUUUUUAUAUAUAAAAUAUGACUAGAAAUCCUCUCCGUUUUACUUCGUCCCAAUCUGUGGUUUCUCUUACUUUCUACCUUUCUGGUUUUUUCUAAUUUUAUGAGCUCUAGAUAUUCAAAACUGGGUUCUUUUCAUACCAUUAUCCAGACCCUACUCCUUUUUUUCAAAGCC
rnacentral:lncRNA from 1 species